UGGGGAAUUUUGGACAAUGGGCGAAAGCCUGAUCCAGCAAUGCCGCGUGUGUGAAGAAGGCCUUCGGGUUGUAAAGCACUUUUGUCCGGAAAGAAAUCCUCUGGGUUAAUACCUCGGGGGGAUGACGGUACCGGAAGAAUAAGCACCGGCUAACUACGUGCCAGCAGCCGCGGUAAUACGUAGGGUGCAAGCGUUAAUCGGAAUUGCUGGGCGUAAAGCGUGCGCAGGCGGUUUUGUAAGACGGAUGUGAAAUCCCCGGGCUUAACCUGGGAACUGCAUUCGUGACUGCAAGGCUAGAGUAUGGCAGAGGGGGGUAGAAUUCCACGUGUAGCAGUGAAAUGCGUAGAGAUGUGGAGGAAUACCGAUGGCGAAGGCAGCCCCCUGGGCCAAUACUGACGCUCAUGCACGAAAGCGUGGGGAGCAAACAGGAUUAGAUACCCUGGUAGUCCACGCCCUAAACGAUGUCAACUAGUUGUUGGGGAUUCAUUUCCUUAGUAACGUAGCUAACGCGUGAAGUUGACCGCCUGGGGAGUACGGUCGCAAGAUUAAAACUUAAAUGAAUUGACGGGGUCAUAGCUGUUU
rnacentral:rRNA from 1 species